UACGUAGGGUGCAAGCGUUGUCCGGAAUUAUUGGGCGUAAAGAGCUCGUAGGCGGUUUGUUGCGUCGGCUGUGAAAUCCCGAGGCUCAACCUCGGGUCUGCAGUCGAUACGAGCAAACUAGAGUGUUGCAGGGGAGACUGGAAUUCCUGGUGUAGCGGUGAAAUGCGCAGAUAUCAGGAGGAACACCGGUGGCGAAGGCGGGUCUCUGGGCAACAACUGACGCUGAGGCGCGAAAGCCAGGGGAGCAAACGGG
rnacentral:rRNA from 1 species